rnacentral:rRNA from 1 species
UACAGAGACUGCAAGCGUUAUUCGGAUUCACUGGGCGUAAAGGGUGCGCAGGCGGCCAAGUUGUGUGAGGCGUGAAAGCCCGGGGCUUAACCCCGGAAUUGCACCUCAAACUACAUGGCUAGAGCAUUGGAGAGGGUAGCGGGAAUUCACGGUGUAGCAGUGAAAUGCGUAGAUAUCGUGAGGAACACCAGAGGCGAAGGCGGCUACCUGGACAAUUGCUGACGCUCAGGCACGAAAGCGUGGGGAGCAAAAGGG